UACGAAGGGGGCUAGCGUUGUUCGGAAUUACUGGGCGUAAAGGGCGCGUAGGCGGUGUGUCAAGUCAGGCGUGAAAGCCCCGGGCUCAACCUGGGAACCGCGCUUGAGACUGGCACGCUAGAGUUCGGGAGAGGAUGGUGGAAUUCCCAGUGUAGAGGUGAAAUUCGUAGAUAUUGGGAAGAACACCGAUGGCGAAGGCAGCCAUCUGGACCGACACUGACGCUGAGGCGCGCAAGCGUGGGGAGCAAACAGG
rnacentral:rRNA from 1 species